rnacentral:rRNA from 1 species
GAAACGACUGCUAAGACUGGAUAGGAGAUAAGAAGGCAUCUUUUUAUUUUUAAAAGACCUAGCAAUAGGUAUGCUUAGGGAAGAGCUUGCGUCACAUUGGUUAGUUGGUGGGGUAAUGGCCUACCAAGACGAUGAUGUGUAGCCGGGCUGAGAGGUCGAACGGCCACAUUGGGACUGAGACACGGCCCAAACUCCUACGGGAGGCAGCAGUAAGGAAUUUUCGGCAAUGGAGGAAACUCUGACCGAGCAAUGCCGCGUGAACGAUGAAGUAUUUCGGUACGUAAAGUUCUUUUAUUAGGGAAGAAAAGAUGGUGGAAAAACCAUUAUGACGGUACCUAAUGAAUAAGCCCCGGCUAACUAUGUGCCAGCAGCCGCGGUAAUACAUAGGGGGCAAGCGUUAUCCGGAAUUAUUGGGCGUAAAGGGUGCGUAGGCGGUUAAAUAAGUUUAUGGUCUAAGUGCAACGCUCAACGUUGUGAUGCUAUAAAAACUGUUUAGCUAGAGUUGGAUAGAGGCAAGUGGAAUUCCGUGUGUAGUGGUAAAAUGCGUAAAUAUACGGAGGGACACCAGAAGCGAAGGCGGCUUGCUGGGUCUUAACUGACGCUGAGGCACGAAAGCGUGGGGAGCAAACAGGAUUAGAUACCCUGGUAGUCCACGCCCUAAACGAUGAGUACUAAACGUUGGAUAAAACCAGUGUUGAAGUUAACACAUUAAGUACUCCGCCUGAGUAGUACGUACGCAAGUAUGAAACUUAAAGGAAUUGACGGGACUCCGCACAAGCGGUGGAUCAUGUUGUUUAAUUCGAAGGUACCCGAAAAACCUCACCAGGUCUUGACAUGCUUUUGCAAAGCUGUAGAAAUACAGUGGAGGUUAUCAGAAGCACAGGUGGUGCAUGGUUGUCGUCAGCUCGUGUCGUGAGAUGUUGGGUUAAGUCCCGCAACGAGCGCAACCCUUGUUGUUAAUUGCCAUCAUUAAGUUGGGGACUUUAGCAAGACUGCCAAUGAUAAAUUGGAGGAAGGUGGGGACGACGUCAAAUCAUCAUGCCCCUUAUGACCUGGGCUACAAACGUGAUACAAUGGCUGUUACAAAGGGUAGCUAAAGCGUAAGCUUCUGGCGAAUCUCAAAAAAGCAGUCUCAGUUCGGAUUGAAGUCUGCAACUCGACUUCAUGAAGUUGGAAUCGCUAGUAAUCGCGAAUCAGCAUGUCGCGGUGAAUACGUUCUCGGGGUUUGUACACACCGCCCGUCA